rnacentral:misc_RNA from 1 species
GCACACGAGGUGAGCAAUCGAUGAUGAAAUAGCAUUGGUUAAAGUGUUAGGGACCAUUAUUCCGAUUAUAAAGCUAUAUAGAAAUAUGAGAAAAAUAUGAGAAAACAACACGUAUGACUAUUUAAGGACAGAUAGUGGACACAAUUUCGAGGACGAAAUUAUUUUAAGGGGGGGAAGAAUUAUAACACCCCAAUUUGUAUAGCUAGGUAUAUUUCACUGUUCCGGUG